CCUCAAGGAAUCCUCCUGCAUUGGCCUCCCAGGGUAUUGGAAUUACAGGCGUGAGCCACCGUGCCCAGCCGGUAUUUUUUUAUUCUGGAGACUAUCUGCCUGAUGGGAAAUUGUCAACAUUACCUGAGUUUCCUGCAAAUGCAUCAGAAAUAUGUUGUAUUAUUAGAACAUCACCAGGAACUAGACAAGUGAAAAAUAAAGGUGUUAUUGUAAAGAAGAAGAAAUAUUCUCUUCCUAAGGAUACCCCUCAAGAUAUCAUAAUAAAAAUGGCAUGAAAAAACAGCUGUGGCUGAAUUUUCACCACUUUGAAGACAGGAGUGUGAAGUCAAAGUCUAUAAAGCAGAAUGUCU
rnacentral:lncRNA from 1 species